UACGAAGGGGGCUAGCGUUGCUCGGAAUUACUGGGCGUAAAGCGCACGUAGGCGGCUUUCUAAGUCGGGGGUGAAAUCCUGGAGCUCAACUCCAGAACUGCCUUCGAUACUGGAAAGCUCGAGUCCGGGAGAGGUGAGUGGAACUGCGAGUGUAGAGGUGAAAUUCGUAGAUAUUCGCAAGAACACCAGUGGCGAAGGCGGCUCACUGGCCCAUUACUGACGCUGAGGCACGAAAGCGUGGGGAGCAAACAGG
rnacentral:rRNA from 1 species